UGGUCAUUACCAAGGCUUUUAGAAUGCAGUUUCUCAUUUGCUGUGGACGUGACCAUAAAAAAAAAAUUUCCCACUAGGUUUUCUUUUCUGCUACCUUGUUAGCAUUCAGUCUAUUGGGAACAUGU